rnacentral:lncRNA from 1 species
AUUUCCUGCUCCCUUUUCCUUUCUUCUUCCCUCUGAUCUUUGUUUCUCUCCUCUGACCUCCUGCUCACUCGUGGACAUUGCCCGCCAUCGCCGUGUUGUCACGCUCCCCGGCAUGCCGCCGCACCUCCGGGUAACACUGUCGCCCCCGCAUAGAUGCGUCGCCAUCGUCUGGAUCCGCCGUCACCGAGCUCCUGCCCAAGGUCGUUGUGCCUCUGCCAUCCUUCUUAUCCUCCCAUUCCUUGCUUCUCUCUCUCACAACAAUCAAUAUUUCUUUUUCUCUUCACUGUCUAGGAAAACCACGAUGUCAUCGCCCCGUGGCCAUGCCCUACUCUCCACCACGCCGUUGACCAGCCGAGCACUGGAUCCGCGCCACUCGGCCUCCCUUUGCUUGGAUCCGGAGGGACGUUGCCGUUGUACGUGCUCCAGCCACGGUCUUGGUGAAGUUGUGUUUGUUCUUUUGUUCGUGUUGCUUCAGAUUCGCGUUAGCAUAUUGGUUCAUGUAAUGAAAAUUUCCCCUCGCAUGAUAAGCUGAAGCAUAGCGCACUUGCUAUCACUUCUCGGUUUUACCAAAGUCACCAUGGGUCGAAUCCCUGCGGUUGCGCUUUUAUUCUGUAUUUAUUUUGCUUCUCCAGAGGAUCAGCACUUGCCCCGUUUUAAGGAAGGCUGAGCCAUUUUAUGUCACACCACCGGACCUAGCUUGUUAGCUAGCGGCACAUAUCUCUCUCAAGAUAUCCUUGGAUCAAAUCCCUGUCUUGGCAAAAUUUUACCUGUUAAUUUUUUUAUCAUCCCUCAGAUGACAACUUGGACCCAACCGAUGUCUAUUUGGGUUGUUUUUUCCUUUUAAAUUUAACUGCAUAGUUUUACAAAACAACUUAGCUUUUUUGCAAAAUUCAUAUAAAUUCAACCGUGCAUCGGAUUAAAAUGAUUUCGACAAGUAGUAUGUUCACAAUUUUGUGUAGUUUCACGAUAUACAACUUUCAACCAUGUUAGAAAUAUUUAAUUUGUUGUUUUCAUGUAAUUUGCGUUAAUGCCUUAGAGAAAUGGUUUAUGUCAUAACUAAUUAACUGUAGCUCCGUUUAAAAUGAUCCACAUAUGUAACUUGACUAGAAAAAUGUGUAGAACAACAUGCUAACAUUUAUUUUCCUAUUUAACACCUCUAAAAUUGUGUUAUAGGUAGAGAAGUACCGAAAUGUUAAUUUGCAUAUGGAAACUUUCCGGAAUUGUUGUUCGUUGUUCCGGCCUCAUUUAAACUUGCCUAAAAUUACGUGUGGUUCCAUAAUAUCUUGUUGCAUUCUUGAUUUAACAUGCUUGUGCCUUUCACUGCAUAUAUUUUGUAUCCUUGUCAUAUUAUCUUGUGGUGAUCAUAUCAUUUAAAUCGUAGCUCCGUUUUAAAUGAUCUAUAUAUAUGUAAACCGACUAGAAUAUCGUGUAGAAUCAUAUGGUGCACUUUAUUUCUCUGUUUAAUAAACAUAAAAUGUUUUUAGUAUAGAUAUGGACCAAUUUCAAAAUUAACAUAUGGGGUCAUCUCGCAAAUGCUAUAUGAUGUUCCCCACCUCAUUUAAUAUGCCAAGAUAGUAUAGUUUAUUUAUGCUUCACCUCUUCCCAUGUUUAACAACAUUUAACAUUGACGUGUACCUAAACAGGAGUGAACUAAAUAAUUCAACAUGGAGUUUCGUCAAUAUGCAAUGAGUUGCAUAUUGAGCUCCAUUAAUGUGUAGUUUUUAUUGUUGUGCUUUGCCAUGUGCCUUGCAUAAUGGAAAUGGACAAGCAUCAUAUUUGAUUGUGCAUCUUGCGAUGAAUAUGUUGUGGUGUUUAUCGUGUGUUAAUUGUUGUUUCCGGAUUGCUUCUUCUCGAUAGAUUUCCUCAAGUGUGUUCAAGUGUGAGGAUUCGUUCGACUAAGUUGGUUCGUCUGCUUCACGGAUUCGUUCUUCUUACAAGCUGAAUCACAGGGAAGAAGAUCGUUUCCCUAGAUACCAUUACUAUCAUUGCCAUGCUCGUUGUCUCGUUUCUUUCGCUAUGUCUCACUGCCCACCACCUGUUUAAUAAGCCUCCCAACAUUGGCAUGAAAAUCCCUUAACUCUCCACAUCCCAACAACCACUUUUUGGCUAUGUUACCGCUUGCUCAGCCUUCUUAUAGCGUUGCUAGUUACAGGUGUAGUUGCUUCCAUGUGACAACAUUGGUUACUUGUUAUAUCACCAUAUCAUUUCAAGUUGAAUUAAUGCACCUAUAUACUUGGUAAAAGGUGGAAGGCUUGGCCUUCUAGCCUGGUGUUUUGUUCCAUCUUUGCCGCCCUAGUUUUGGCUACUUGUGUUAAGUUCCAUAUUGAGCGCUCCUAAUAUGCUUGGGGUUGUUAUGGGGACCCCCUUGACUUAUGUUUUGGGAUAAAACUCUUCUCGCAAGGCCCAACAUUGGUUCUAUAUUAUCCCAACAUAAUAAUACUGAAAAACAUAGGGCGUCAUGAACCCGAGGAGGGCAUGUGCUGAUGGUGCUGGUUCUAAACAGAGCCAUGUGUGGGGCCAACCUUGGGCAACUCGGGUGAUGUGUAUCAGGCCACUUUACGUUGUGCUUAUCCAUCAUGUCUUGAUAAGGAGAUACGCGGCUCCUAUCGGGAUCGUUGAAACGUCGGUAGGCCUUGUUUAAUUUGUUUUACCUUUCUCAAACGUCUUGUGCAAAGGAUUCUGAUGAUACUUUGGCCUAUCUCGAGGUUGAGGUUUUUCCCUAGGAACCCGAGGAGAUCAUGGGUUUUCAAUGGUCAAGGUUUCCGACGCAGGAUAUCAUAAGAUGGGUUCCGAGCCGUCAGCCUGGGAUAGCAAGGAUGGACGUCGUUCUUUUAUCAUUUGGUUUCGUUCAUAAUCGGACCCUGCUCUUCUACAUGGUGAUUGAUUAUAGUGUUGUAUUGUGUUUUUCAUGUUGUAGCUUGUGGCAAGUGUAAGCCAAUUCCAUAUACUCAUCUCUUUUGUACAUGUACUUGUAACGAUAUCCAUUCUGGCAAAAUGGCGAGAUGCGCUUGUAUUCCUAUCGAGGUCCUCGAGCCAAAAUAAGGAUAUGAUCGCAUCUUGGGCGUUACAUGGGGUUCUUUUAAUAUACUAGGCUUGACUAAAGGUCAAGGGCUUGGUGAACAAGGUUUGGGAAAGGGUGUGGCUUGCAUGUG